GCGGCGGUGGUGGAAUUGGUAGACACACCAUCUUGAGGGGGUGGCGCCGCAAGGCAUGGGAGUUCGAGUCUCCCCCGCCGCA
rnacentral:tRNA from 1 species